rnacentral:rRNA from 1 species
AUUGAACGCUGGCGGCAUGCUUUACACAUGCAAGUCGAGCGGCAGCGCGGGGGCAACCCUGGCGGCGAGCGGCGAACGGGUGAGUAAUGCAUCGGAACGUAUCCUCGAGUGGGGGAUAACCCAGCGAAAGUUGGGCUAAUACCGCAUGAGCUCUGAGGAGGAAAGGGGGGGACCUGCGAGGGCCUCGCGCUGGAGGGGCGGCCGAUGUCCGAUUAGCUAGUUGGUGGGGUAAAGGCUCACCAAGGCGACGAUCGGUAGCUGGUCUGAGAGGAUGAUCAGCCACACUGGGACUGAGACACGGCCCAGACUCCUACGGGAGGCAGCAGUGGGGAAUUUUGGACAAUGGGGGCAACCCUGAUCCAGCCAUGCCGCGUGAGUGAAGAAGGCCUUCGGGUUGUAAAGCUCUUUCGGACGGAACGAAAUGGGCGGGACUAAUACUCCUGUCUGAUGACGGUACCGUAAGAAGAAGCACCGGCUAACUACGUG